UACGUAGGGAGCAAGCGUUGUCCGGAAUCAUUGGGCGUAAAGCGCGCGUAGGCGGCCCCGUAAGUCCGCUGUGAAAGUCAAAGGCUCAACCUUUGAAAGCCGGUGGAUACUGUGGGGCUAGAGUCCGGAAGAGGCGAGUGGAAUUCCUGGUGUAGCGGUGGAAUGCGCAGAUAUCAGGAGGAACACCAAUAGCGAAGGCAGCUCGCUGGGACGGUAUUGACGCUGAGACGCGAAAGCGUGGGGAGCGAACAGG
rnacentral:rRNA from 1 species